AUACGUAGGUGGCGAGCGUUAUCCGGAUUUACUGGGCGUAAAGGGUGUGUAGGCGGGAUUGCAAGUCAGAUGUGAAAAUCAUGGGCUCAACUCAUGACCUGCAUUUGAAACUGGGGUUCUUGAGGGGCGGAGAGGGAACCGGAAUUCCUGGUGUAGCGGUGAAAUGCGUAGAUAUCAGGAGGAACACCGGUGGCGAAGGCGGGUUACUGGCCGCAUACUGACGCUGAGACCCGAAAGCGUGGGGAGAAAACGGGAUUAGAUACCCUGGUAGUCCACGCUGUACACGAUCAAUGCUAGGUGGGGGGACGUAAGUUUCCGUGCCGGAGUUAACACAAUAAGCAUUCCACCUGGGGAGUACGGCCGCAAGGUUGAAACUCAAAGGAAUUGACGGGG
rnacentral:rRNA from 1 species